AUGGCGGCCGCAGCCUGCGGUUACGAUGGCCCUGUCUGACGGGGAUGGUUUCCACAGAGCUUGGCGCCCUGUCCGCUUGCCCGGAGAGGGGUUCCCUGUUUAAAGACGACAAACCUGCUAAGCCACUGCUUUUCCUCAAAAUUUAUUCCCAAGGAAGCAUUCAUAUUGGGAAAUGGCAGAAGCGGUUUUUCAUCCCCCAAGAAGGAAAAGAAGAGUUUUUGAGUUGUAUGAGUCUCCCUUUCCUGUGGAUGUAGGUGGGAAGGAUUUCAGAAUAUGCCAGGCUGAAAUCCUUAACAACAAUGUUAUUGUGAGGAACCCUGAAGAUAUUGAACAGCUUUAUAACAAGGGCUAUUUUGGAAAAGGUAUCCUUUCAAGAAGUCGACCAGUGUACAGCAUUUCAGAUCCUUUACUGGUUACUAAGUGGCAAGGUGCUAACAUAAACAUGCCUAUAAUUGCAUCUACAAAGUACCAGUGUCAUGUUCAGUGGGCUAAAAGUAUUUUGCAAGAGCAAGGAUUUGAUGACUGCUCGGUUACCAAAAUUCUUGAAAAUUACACUAAGCCUCUUGAGCUGCCAUUUUUGGAAGAGGAUGGAGCUGAACAAACCAGUAAUAGUUGCAACAGAAUGGGCCCAAAUACAGAAGUUACAGAACUUUCCAGACAAUCUUCUACAGAUACUGGAAAUGUAGUAGCCCUAAGUCCUCAGAAUGAAGGCUACAAGAAAGCCUGUUUGGAGAGAGAUCCAGCACUUGACCCUGUGGCCGUAUGUGGCUCUAAAGAACAGGAACAAGGUGACUUUAAAGAGAUAGCUGAAGUGCCUUGCCAGAGGCAUGGUUUUCUUGUGCAUUGUGGCUGCAAGGCUAAGGACAGCACUGAGCAACGAUCUUGUGAGAUGAUCAGGUCAAAAGAAUGUGCUCCAGAAUAUGUAUUGGUGCAAGAGGAAGAAGAAGGUAGCUUAUGUCCUGAAGAUGACUCUGCUGAUGCGCAAGAAAACCUUGUCAAGAAGGAAAAACUAGUAUGCAGAAAAAAUCCAUUUAGGAUUUUUGAAUAUUUACAACUCAGCUUGGAAGAGGCUUUUUUCUUGGUGUACGCUCUGGGAUGUUUAAGUAUUUAUUAUGGUGAGGAGCCCCUAACUAUUUUGAAGCUAUGGGAAGUUUUCAGCGAAGUGAAGCCCGAUUUUAAAACUACCUACAUGGCGUAUCACUACUUCCGCAGUAAGGGUUGGGUCCCCAAAGUUGGACUGAAGUAUGGAACUGAUCUCUUGCUGUAUCAAAAAGGCCCCCCCUUCUAUCAUGCAAGUUACUCUGUCGUUGCUGAAUUGGUUGAUGAUAAUUUUGAAGGUUCUCUGCGCAGACCGCUCAGCUGGAAGGCCUUGUCUGGGUUGAACAGAACAACUGUUAAUGCUUCUAAGGAACUUAUGUUAUGCUAUUUGAUUAGACCAUCUGAUAUGACUGAAAAAGAGAUGUCAACACCAGAAUGUAUGAAAAGAAUUAAGGUUCAGGAACUGAUUGUAACUCGGUGGGUUUCUUCCCGUGAGCGCAGUGAGCAAGAUGAACUUUAACUGACUGCAUAGGAAAAACUUUUUUUUUUUUUUUAAAUCACUUCUUGUUUUUUACCUGAUCUUUUCAUGGUGAAUCAUUGCCUCAGAACAGUUUCUAUCAACAUACUCAGUUGGUGAUACUUUCUUUGUGGUGAACAGCUAAGCUCCCAGAUCUGAUGCCUGCAGCAUGCUGAGAAGUACGCACCCUUCAACAGCAAAGAAUCAGGUAUCUGGAUGCUGCAGCCCACAUUUUUAAC